CAAUAGCGUAUAUUAAAGUUGUUGCAGUUAAAAAGCUCGUAGUUGGAUUUCUGGUUGAAGCGACCGGUCGGGCGUUGAUUCGUCUGCACUGGAGUCGGUUUUGGCCAUCCUCUAGGAAAGUGCGUCUGGUAUUAAGUUAUCGGGCGUAUGAUCCUGGUCUUUUACUGUGAAAAAAUUAGAGUGUUUAAAGCAGGCCUUCGCCUUGAAUACAUUAGCAUGGAAUAAUAAGAUAGGACUUUGGUCUAUUUUGUUGGUUUGCAGACCGAAGUAAUGAUUAAUAGGGAUAGUGGGGGGUAUUUAUAUUCCGAUGUCAGAGGUGAAAUUCUUAGAUUUUCGGAAGAUAAACUUAUGCGAAAGCAUUUACCAAGGAUGUUUUCAUUAA
rnacentral:rRNA from 1 species